rnacentral:rRNA from 1 species
UACGUAGGGUGCGAGCGUUAAUCGGAAUUACUGGGCGUAAAGUGUGCGCAGGCGGCCGCGCAAGUCGAGUGUGAAAGCCCCGAGCUUAACUUGGGAAUUGCGCUCGAAACUACGUGGCUGGAGUGUGGCAGAGGAAGGUGGAAUUCCAGGUGUAGCGGUGAAAUGCGUAGAGAUCUGGAGGAACACCGAUGGCGAAGGCAGCCUUCUGGGCCAACACUGACGCUCAUGCACGAAAGCGUGGGGAUCAAACAGG